GCUUGGUACCGGGAUUUGUAUAAAUAACCGAUGCUUUCCUCAGUACCAGGGCUGAAGAGGACCUAAGUGGUCGUAAAACGGCCUGAGGUAGAGGGGUUUAGCCAGUAGGUUCGAGGACUUCUUCCUCGGGAAUCCGACACUACCCAUUCGUAUGGACGGCUGGGUGUCUUUUGAAGAUUUCUCCUCUUCAACGAAA
rfam:Agrilus planipennis Contig61123, whole genome shotgun sequence.